UCUCUCUCUCUCUCUCUCUCUGCCGAUAGAAAAGGCCAGCCCUCCCCUAGAAGGAGGCACCUGCAACAUCAAGUUUUAGUUCAGAGGCUACAUAAAGAUCAAGAUCAUCCUGAUCCCCGAGGCCCGGGCGCACGCGCGUCAUGUAAACAAAGUACAAACAUACUCCCACAGUCCCACAGCCUGCCCUACACGACCCCAGCAAACACACAAGAACAAGCUAUAGAGCUACAUCGUCGAUACCCUUACAACUACAAGCUAUAGCAAAUUUCUACAGAUAUUUUGUCAGAUUUGGUCAGAUUAUGCAUAAUUCAGUCUGGCAACACUGCCAAGGCAUCCAGUCUCCCAGCAAGUGCCAAGAGGCAUUCAUUCAAUGCUCCGCUGACACCAAUUUGCCCAAAGUGAGCUGAGGGUCGGUGAAGCGCACAAGUGGGUCAGCAUUCUCAUACCAGAACCGGUCACAGCAGCGGAGGUUCCUGAACUGAAUGCCGAGGGUGCAGCCGAACGUGGGACCGACCAGUCCACCGUGCAGCGGCGUCUCA